rnacentral:rRNA from 1 species
AGUGAACGCUGGCGGUAGGCCUAACACAUGCAAGUCGAACGGCAGCACAGUAAGAGCUUGCCCUUACGGGUGGCGAGUGGCGGACGGGUGAGGAAUACAUCGGAAUCUACUUUUUCGUGGGGGAUAACGUAGGGAAACUUACGCUAAUACCGCAUACGACCUACGGGUGAAAGCAGGGGAUCUUCGGACCUUGCGCGAUUGAAUGAGCCGAUGUCGGAUUAGCUAGUUGGCGGGGUAAAGGCCCACCAAGGCGACGAUCCGUAGCUGGUCUGAGAGGAUGAUCGGCCACACUGGAACUGAGACACGGUCCAGACUCCUACGGGAGGCAGCAGUGGGGAAUAUUGGACAAUGGUCGCAAGCCUGAUCCAGCCAUACCGCGUGGGUGAAGAAGGCCUUCGGGUUGUAAAGCCCUUUUGUUGGGAAAGAAAAGCAGCAGGUUAAUACCCCGCUGUUCUGACGGUACCCAAAGAAUAAGCACCGGCUAACUUCGUG